rnacentral:rRNA from 1 species
UGGGGAAUUUUGGACAAUGGGCGAAAGCCUGAUCCAGCAAUGCCGCGUGUGUGAAGAAGGCCUUCGGGUUGUAAAGCACUUUUGUCCGGAAAGAAAUCCUUGGCUCUAAUACAGUCGGGGGGAUGACGGUACCGGAAGAAUAAGCACCGGCUAACUACGUGCCAGCAGCCGCGGUAAUACGUAGGGUGCAAGCGUUAAUCGGAAUUACUGGGCGUAAAGCGUGCGCAGGCGGUUUGCUAAGACCGAUGUGAAAUCCCCGGGCUCAACCUGGGAACUGCAUUGGUGACUGGCAGGCUAGAGUAUGGCAGAGGGGGGUAAAUUCCACGUGUAGCAGUGAAAUGCGUAGAGAUGUGGAGGAAUACCGAUGGCGAAGGCAGCCCCCUGGGCCAAAUACUGACGCUCAUGCACGAAAGCGUGGGGAGCAAACAGGAUUCAGAUACCCUGGUAGUCCAGCGCCCUAAACGAUGUCAACUAGUUGUGGGGAUUCAUUUCCUUAGUAACGUAGCUAACGCGUGAAGUUGACCGCCUGGGGAGUACGGUCGCAAGAUUAAAACUU